rnacentral:rRNA from 1 species
GACGAACUUUGGCGGCGUGCCUAAUACAUGCAAGUCGAGCGAGCGGAACUAACAGAUUUACUUCGGUAAUGACGUUAGGAAAGCGAGCGGCGGAUGGGUGAGUAACACGUGGGGAACCUGCCCCAUAGUCUGGGAUACCACUUGGAAACAGGUGCUAAUACCGGAUAAGAAAGCAGAUCGCAUGAUCAGCUUUUAAAAGGCGGCGUAAGCUGUCGCUAUGGGAUGGCCCCGCGGUGCAUUAGCUAGUUGGUAAGGUAAAGGCUUACCAAGGCGAUGAUGCAUAGCCGAGUUGAGAGACUGAUCGGCCACAUUGGGACUGAGACACGGCCCAAACUCCUACGGGAGGCAGCAGUAGGGAAUCUUCCACAAUGGACGCAAGUCUGAUGGAGCAACGCCGCGUGAGUGAAGAAGGUUUUCGGAUCGUAAAGCUCUGUUGUUGGUGAAGAAGGAUAGAGGUAGUAACUGGCCUUUAUUUGACGGUAAUCAACCAGAAAGUCACGGCUAACUACGUGCCAGCAGCCGCGGUAAUACGUAGGUGGCAAGCGUUGUCCGGAUUUAUUGGGCGUAAAGCGAGCGCAGGCGGAAGAAUAAGUCUGAUGUGAAAGCCCUCGGCUUAACCGAGGAACUGCAUCGGAAACUGUUUUUCUUGAGUGCAGAAGAGGAGAGUGGAACUCCAUGUGUAGCGGUGGAAUGCGUAGAUAUAUGGAAGAACACCAGUGGCGAAGGCGGCUCUCUGGUCUGCAACUGACGCUGAGGCUCGAAAGCAUGGGUAGCGAACAGGAUUAGAUACCCUGGUAGUCCAUGCCGUAAACGAUGAGUGCUAAGUGUUGGGAGGUUUCCGCCUCUCAGUGCUGCAGCUAACGCAUUAAGCACUCCGCCUGGGGAGUACGACCGCAAGGUUGAAACUCAAGGGAGUUGACGGGGGCCCGCACAAGCGGUGGAGCAUGUGGUUUAAUUCGAAGCAACGCGAAGAACCUUACCAGGUCUUGACAUCUGGUGCCAUUUGUAGAGAUACAAAGUUCCCUUCGGGGACGCUAAGACAGGUGGUGCAUGGCUGUCGUCAGCUCGUGUCGUGAGAUGUUGGGUUAAGUCCCGCAACGAGCGCGACCCUUGUUAUUAGUUGCCAGCAUUAAGUUGGGCACUCUAAUGAGACUGCCGGUGACAAACCGGAGGAAGGUGGGGAUGACGUCAAGUCAUCAUGCCCCUUAUGACCUGGGCUACACACGUGCUACAAUGGGCAGUACAACGAGAAGCGAGCCUGCGAAGGCAAGCGAAUCUCUGAAAGCUGUUCUCAGUUCGGACUGCAGUCUGCAACUCGACUGCACGAAGCUGGAAUCGCUAGUAAUCGCGGAUCAGCACGCCGCGGUGAAUACGUUCCCGGGCCU